GACCCUGCUCUUUAUCGACCCAAACCAAUGACCCCCACCCCCUGAAUUCUAUAUUCUUCACCCCAACCCAAGCAGUGGAUGAGCCAUAAACUCGCCGGAAACACCAUGAAUACUGGCGAGAAUCCAUGAAGACAGUUUACCUCUGCACACAGUCAAAAACAAAAAUGUUCUGCUUUAUGCACUCCCAAGAGCAAGGUGGAAAGUUCUUGGAGGGAAGGAUGCCGGGGGUCUAUUUGGAAACAGCGUCUCUACCCAAGGGUAGGGGUAAGGUCUGUGUACACACUACCCUCCCCAGACCCUACUAAGUUGUUGUUGUUGUUGUUGUUUAUGCACUCCCAAUCUCUGAUGUUAGUACUAAAAACGAGUUUCAGUUGAACUAGUGUGAUGUACUUCUAUGUCGGAUGAGUUUAGAUCUUUCAAGUUCUAGAUUUUGUGACGUUUUGUGUCGAGUUUGGCCGGAGUUAGUUCUCUAGCGAGUCCUUUGUGUGUGUCUCUUUGACUGUUGCUCCAGUGUAGCUACUGCCACGUUAGUGGUGUCAUUUUAAAUCAAGGUUGUUCAUUCAAGGUGUCCGGGAAGAUUCUUGGUUCGUUGAGGUUUCGAUCGCAGCCCAAAAUCGGAUCCAGAUUUCUAUUUUUUUUCUCUAAAUCAUAUAAGGUCUGAUUCUCAAGGCUUCCUAAAUGUUUACUGGUUGAUUUGGCUUAAUAGCAUUCUUAGCAUUUUAUAUAUUGUUCAUUGCUGUGUUUUAAUGACUUCCUGAUAUUGGCUUCCCCCUUUGUUCUUGUUGUUCAAGUUUAAUACGUUUGAAGUACUACCUCAUCGCUUUGUUUGGCAGAAUGUGAUGUUAUUUCAUUUGUUAAUUGGCUUCAUGUGUUAC
rnacentral:lncRNA from 1 species